UGUAGGCAAGGGUGACUCUCUGGUCGCUCUUGCAGCGCUCUAUGGUUAAAGCCAUUGCUGGGUGGGGGCACCAUUGCUCCAAGCAUUGAGCGGAUCCACACCUCCUACCAGAGGAGGUCAUGGCAUGGCACAGCCCAGCACAGCCCCAGCACCCCGUGCAGCCGAUGCCAGGCUGAGCAGCACACCCAGCCCCUCUCCAGCUCGGCUUCUCCUUGCAGCCUGAGCAAUGAUUUAGCACCCAUUAACCCAUGCAGCUGUAAAUCCCAGCACAGACAGCUCCCAAACAUUCGUUUCAAGCGACACAGUUUGUGUCAUUUCGGGAUUAGUGUUUACUCUCUUGUUAAUUAAUACUUGUUAAAGCGAGGCUAAAAAGAAGGCGUUCGGCUUCUCGCUUCGGUGAAUGGCUCCGUGCCCUCGAGGAGCAGCAUGGCUGGGCUCAGUGCGUGGGGCCAUAGCCAGAAAGGAGAAAAACGGGCUUCAUUUGUACAUGGGGAGGAUGCAGCCCCACACUGGUGGAGGGGAUGAUGGAGCUCCUGCUGCUGCUGCAGCACAGGGGGCACCUCGGGGCCAGAGGGCAUCGUCCCAGCUGGGACUGUGCUGGUGUCAGGGAAACUGUAUGUCAUGCAAGGGGCAGCAGUUUGGAAUAGGAAUUGGAAUAGGAAUGGGAAUGGGAAUACGGAUGGGAACAGGAAUGAGAAUGGGAAUGGGAAGAGGAAGAGGAAUGGGAAGAGGAAGAGGAAUGAGAACAGGAAUGGGAAUAGAAAUGGAAAUGGGAAUAGUAGCAAUAGAAAUAGCAAUAGUUAUAGCAAUAGCAGCAACAACAGCAAUAGCAGCAAUGGCAAUAGUAAUAGCAAUGGUAAUGGUAAUAGUGAUAGUGACAGUGAUGGAGUAAUAAUAACAGCAAUAAGGAGUUAAUUCUUUAUUAACCUUUAUUAAAGAAAAAAAAAGUCCACAACUUUAUGCAACUCUGGGGCAGCCCAGGGUGACCACUUGGCAUCCCUUAAAAUGUGAAAUGGUGCAAGAUUUGGAUCCUACCCCCGGAGUGCUUUCUGGUUUCCAUCCUAUUGGACAGCCCCAGGUGUCCCAGCAGCUGCAGAGCAAACCCUGAGGCCACGACCCUCCGGACACCUCCAGAUCCGAGCCCAAGGCUGGCUGGAAGCAGGAGAAGGGCAGCACCCACUGAUCCUAUGCUGUGCCCUUCAUUUUCCUACGGGAGAGCGGACACAGAAAUAAAGCAGCCCCUCCCCGGCUCGGUGGGGGUGAGGAUGGUGCCAGGCCAAGGGCUGGGGCUGCUGAUGGGGGUCGAGGUGCCCACAGCCCACAGCCCACAGCUGGCGAUGCGCUUGGCGAUGCAGCGCGGCUCGUGCGCGCCAGGAGUGAAUGUUAAUGGUGCCGAGCUCCUGGGAGAAGUGAUCAAAUUCUCCGUCGAAACCAGUGAGGAAAGGAAGGGGAGGGGAGGAGGAGGGGGGGGGGGGGGAGCAGCUCCGCAGAUUAAUUCUGCUGAUGAAAAUUAAAAACGGGCAUCUCCAAACCCAGACCAGGAGCAGCCGCCUCAUUCCCGGUGCCUUCGGUAACCCCAAACCUCCCAGAGGGCGUCCGGGUGCCGCGCCGGGGGAUGCGGCACAGGGCCUCAAGGUGCCACAGUUGGGCACCCCUGGGUGGGACCCCCCUGCACCUCACCUCCCCGCUCCCCUCCGUCCCCUCUUCCCCGCCAGAAUUUGGGUUUUAUCCCCAGCUGCUUCCCUCCUCCCUCCUCCUCCCCUCCGCCCGCUCUCCUCUCCUCUCCUCGCUGCCAAGUCCGCAGGUUUCCCACUGUGACCUUGAGCUCGUGUUCCUGGAGCUGGUUGUGGGCUUCUUAAAGGCGCCGUGUGGGCACUGAGGGCCCCGCCUGCCGCCUCCCCAUGGGACCCAUGGAGAUGGGGCACGGGGACGUGACGGCACGGCGCGGCUGAGCCCCGUGGGCUGAGGAUCCAGCCCUGCUCGGACAGCCCAGGAUGCACUAAAAGCUCCAUCAUCCAGAGAGGACCCCAAUCGAUAGGUGCCUUCAAGGCAAGUCGUAAAACUUGGACAUUACGCCGGCACCGCUCGGCGCUCCGCGGUGAAGGCGGUGUUUAAUUCAUGGGAUUAAAUGGGAGAGAAAGGAUGGAGGCCCCAGUGCUGCUGGGAAACCCAUGAAGAAUGACCUUAGCCAUGGCUGGGGGACACUGCUGCUCGUGGGGGGAGCCCUGCAAGCACCCUGCGUUCCUGAGCACCGUGGCCAGGGCAUGAUGCAAAUACAAAUCAAUGUGUGGAAAGAGGGGUUAAGGCAAACAUUAACCAUGGGAGUCAUGAGCUGGUUCACCAGAAGGACGUGGAAAUGCCCCACCAGCACAGGGAUGGGGCUCAGGGUGGGCUCAGAGCACCCACUGGCACUGACCCCAAGCUGGGACAAGGCACACAGGUGGGGGAUGCCGCAGUGCUCCUCAAUGCCUUCUGGGUGUGUGGAGGUUGGGACUGCAGAGAUUGGCAUCGUGGCCCAGCACUGUGUCCUGUGAGAUGGGGACUGGAGCACAGAGCCUAUGGGCGGCUCAGGGAGCUGUGCCCACUGUUACAGACACGUGUGGGGAAACUGAGGCACUGAGGGUCUCAGAUGCUUAAAGAGAUGGAUAACGAGGGAGGAACCCAGCGAGGCUCAUGCCCGACAUCAGACCAACCCCACAGCAUCCCAAAGAUCUCCUCCUGCAUCACUGAACACGUAUGGGCAACACAAAGGCACCAGCUGGUGACCGAAAGGCACGGCUCCGUAGCCACGGCUCCACAGUGCUCCUGGAUGAGGACAGAUGCUGCGCCCUACGCUUGGCACAGGGUCUGUCCUGCAGGAGAUGGGAUGGCAGCACCGGGAUGGGACGAGCAGCCACUGCAGGUGGGGACGCUCAGCACAGCCCUCAGGUGAGGGGACGGAGCCGGAAUCGCUGUGCCCAAAGAGGGAGCGAUGGGACGAGGAGGAGGAGGAGGAGGCUGAGAGGAAAGAAAAAGAGAAAAAUGAGUUUUCCUGCUGCCCCAGCGGCGCGGCGAUUGAUCGGGCGCAGUGCCUCCUGCUUCCAGCUGGGCUGGAAACACCACAAAAACAGACACCACAAUGCAGCACUUUCGUGUUUCAAGUCCUGGAUGAAACGAGACGCAAAAGAUACAGAGCCCAUUGCGUGGGGACAGCGAUGGCGGGGCUUCACCUGGGCACGAGUGCAGAUGUACCUGGAGAAAGCUCGGGGUGUUGGUGGGGCAGGAAGAGGGACUGCAGCCCCCCCCAGCUUUUCUCUCCCCAUGUGUGGGACCCAAGAGUUGUGCCCCGGCUCCUCGGGUUUGCCCCAAAGCUUUCCUGUAAUCUCACACUCCCCCUGUGUUGCAUCUCAUGCUGGAUCCAACUGGACUCCCAACCCAGCCGCGUUCUGCUGCACAGCACCGCCCAGCCUCAGCCCCACUGCAUCUCCGAUGUCCCUGCCUUCCCUCUUCGUCUGUUUUCAUUAGGAUUUGGAGAUAAGCUUCAAAAUAAAGGCAGUGUUUUUAACCUCCCUGCCUUAUCAGCAUCCUUCCAGCGGGGCCCAGACCCAGCCACGCUGUGUGGGAUGCUCCAGGGAACAGAGACCCCAAAUCUCUCCCCCCACAUCCUGCACAUUUGCUGCCCCACAGCUUGCAGUGGGGCUCCGGAGCGCACUGUUGGCUUUGGGAAGCUCUCUCUGCACCUGGGGACAGCAGUUGCACGCACUCAUGUGCGGGAAUACAAACCCAGCGCCAGCUCAGCACACCUGGAUUUUAUUCCUGGCUCUGCCGCUGACCUCCAGCAGUUGUUUCCCUCCCCUGGGGCUGUCUCCUCUCCUGCUGUCACACCACCAGCACUGCUUUGCCCCAGCGAGGUCCCCAAGCUCCAUCACCCCUUGGCUCGAGACAGAACCCGCUUUGAGGACGCAGCCCUCCCCUGCCCUUCUCCCAAACGAGGUCCCCAACCCGACAGAGUAACACCGCGUGCACCGAGCGCUCGCUCACGGACAGCAGAGAUCUGGCUGGUCGCACGGGGUUGGCUUUCGUCCUCGUUUCCAGCUGCUAAAUUGCAUUAUGGACAGUUAAAAAUACAUCGCAUACUUUCCUAAUGUGACUUUGCCGUGGUAGGCGAGCAGCACCGCCGCCACUGAGAUGCCGGGCAGUGCAAAUAGGGCUGCAGAGCAGCUCCGUGUCCCACGGAGGGGACCUGCAGGCUGGCAGAUGGCUGCCCUGUGCUUUGCCUCAGUUUCCCCUCCGGUGAAAGCAUUUGACAGCAAUGAAAACGCACGGAUGAGAAUUCAGCACUACUUAGUUGGGCUCUGCAGAAAAAGUGACUUUUUGCGCAGGGAGCAGAGAUGAAGAGGAGUCCAGAAGUGAGCAAGAAACGAUCUGUUAAUAGCAUUAGAGCACAAUAAGUCCUGGGCAUGAUUGGAACUGCAACACGGCAUCCCACUGAAGCGCCAGCAACACACAGACUGAGGCAGCACCUAAAGCAGUGUGGGUGCAUGCCUGGAGACCUGCCGUUGCUUUGCUGUGGCAACUCAAGUACCCAAAGAGGCAACGAUGGGUUCCCUGCAGCUGGGACACAUCUGCACCCCAGCAAAUAUUUGAGCAGCGUUUGGAGGUUGGGGAGCAGCUGCUGCUCCUGAGUGCUGCGUGUGCCCACCAGCGGAGGUGUGGCAGUGAGGUGCUCUCCCACAUUGGCUGCCUUCUUGUUGGGCACGGAGGUGAUGGAGGAGCUGCAGCACCUGCCCAGCUCUGCACCACUGCAAUGCUGAGACGUGGGGGACUUCCAUGGGCCCCCAAUGGACACCCCUUCCUAUGGGUCCCCAAUGGUCGCCCCUUCCUAUGGGUCCCCAAUGGACAGCCCUUCCCAUUGGCCAUGAUGUUGGCCAAGGAAUGGUGCAAGAAGGGAUGAUUCCAUGCCCAUGGUAUCAGGGCAUGAGACUGCAUCUGAAUCCAGCACAGCCUCACCAGGCACCUCCUGUAGGACCAGGGAUGGGGUGGGUAGGGGAUCCCACAGCCAGGAAGGGCUCAGCAGGAAGGGGAGAGCUUCAAGAGGGUAAGGAAGGAGUUAAACUCCGGCAGAGCCAGCCCCCACCCUCUCCCUUCUCUGCUAACUUUGGGAGGAAGGGAAUAGCAUAAAGGUAAGAGUGGAGGAAGGAGAGAGAGAGGAGACAGAUGAGAAAGGGAGAGAGAGAGGGAGAGGGGGAGCAUGGAACAGACGGCGGAGAGGGAGCGCGCGUGGGGGAAGAUGCUGACGCUUCUCCUCCAUCUCUGUGCCAUGCAGAUAGAGGGGAGCAAUAAAAAAAUUAAAAAAAAAAAAAAAGAAAGAAAGAAAGAAAGGAAAAAAAAAAAGGCAAAGACCGAGGGAACAUGGGAGAGGGAGAAGGAAGGAGCCCAAGCAAGGGAGCAUGUGUGAAAGUCGCUGCGAGAGAAGGGGCCUCUUUGAUUCCCCGUGCCUCAUACCAGACAGUGUCUAGACUGCAGCAAUUAUUGUCAGCUCAGAACACCCAGGCAUUGCCAUUUCAGCUGAAAGGGAGCUUAACAAAGAGCGAGGAAGAAAAAAAUACCCUGCGAGCAGUGCGCUAGGCUGCCUGCAGCACGAGGGGCUCUUCGGAGGGCCCUCUGCCAUCCAACACCCCCUGGCAAAUCCCAGCCCUGUGGGCGUGCAGUGGGGCGGGUGAUGCUGCGAGCCCCAUCCUGCUGCAGCCGUGGGGUGGAAGCAGUUCCUGGCCCGUCCCCAGGGCCCCUGGGUGUGCCAAUGUGGGGGAGCUCUCCACUGCAGACCCUUGGGGUUUGGGAGAGGAAGAGGGGAGGAGGAAGGCUUGGCGCUUUUGCACCCAGUCAGCCACAUGUUUUCAUCGAGUCGCACAAUGGUUCGGUUGGAAGGGACCUCAAAGAUCAUCCAGUUCCAACCCCCGUGCUGUGGGCUGGUCGCCAACCAUCAGAUCACGUUGCCCAGAGCCACGUCCAGCCUGGCCUCGAGCAGCUCCAGGGAUGGGGCACGCACUGCUGAGCCUGCUGGUGGCAGGGAGGCUGCGGUGCGCUGGGACACGAUGGGGUGACAUUGCCCAAGGAACCAAACCAGCACAAAGACCCUCAGCAGCCCCACAUGGAGCCAGCAGAGCAGCAGUGCCUUUGUCAAGAGUUUUGUUUCCUCUGCACUUCGAGGGGUGCCUGCUGCCUGUUCCAAACCCGGUCUGGCUAGGCUGAACUGAUUGCCAUUGUCACCUCUCUGCCUUUGUGGAAUGGAAUACGUUUUCUGACCUGGCCUGGCUGUGACUGCAAAGCUAAGGGCUUCUUCUCCUUUGAGAUGAUGGUUCUGAUGCCAUCAUGUGGACAUCACCAGCCCCAUCCAGGAUCUGGGCACAGCAGCAGAGCAGAACUGAUGACAGCAGAGGUCCAACAGAGGUCCAACAUGGAAGAACCUCCCCAGGGAGAGCCGUGGCCUGUUUCCACAUGGGGUCUGUGGAUAUAGGACAUUUCAUCACGUGGUGUUCCCCAUGGAGCUCAGUUUGGGGGCUGGGAACAGCAGCUCAGGGGUCCCAGCACCACCCUGAGCAGCACAGUGUGGGAUUGCCAGAUAUUUCCUGGAAGGGCCCAUGGCUUGUAAUGCUUUGGGCUGGUGUUACAGCCAUGGAAGACAUUGAGUUUCCAACCAAGCGCAGCUGCUGCAGUCAUACAAAUACAUGGGGAGGGUUUGGGUCAGAAAGGGUUGGACCUUCACUGGGGACUUUGUGCACAGUGUCCCAUCCGCACUGCAGUGCCAGUGCCCUCAGUGCAGCUCCGGGCGUGGGGCAGAAGACCCCCAGUGCUCUUCCAGCCGUGGGGCUUUGAAACAACCGCUGCGGGGCUCUGCAUCUCAGACCCAACACAACAGUGUCAUGCAGUGGGAACACCACCAAGAUGCCUCUGCACUCUGCCCAGUGCCAGGCUCCCAUCUACACGUGGUUAAGCAACGCGAGAAAGAAGACCUUGCUGUCUCCUCCACCCCACAGGGCAGCUCCGCUGGGGUUGGCACCGCUCCGUGCCCCAUCCCUAUCCCAGGGCAGCCCGAACCUCUCCGCCCCUUCUCCCCCUCCGCAAAGCUGCGUGCUGACGCCAACCUCAUGUUUUCCAGUUCCUUUAGAUUUACCCCCACUCUUUUUUUUUUUUUUUUUAAUCUCCCCGCUUUCCUUCCUUCCUUUUUUAUUUUUUUUAUUUUUUAUUUUUUUCUUCCUGGGUUAAAAAUAAUCAAGUUUCUGGGAAGCAGCAACUCCUGCUGCGCUGCCUCCCCGCACUCGCCCCGGAGAAUAGCUCAGCCCGGCGCUGGGCUGCGGCCCCUCCUCGCUGCUCGCUCCUUCCUCCUCCCCACCCCCUACAGGGAUCUGACUAAUAUGCUCGGGCUCUGCUUGCCAGCUCAGCUGGAAAGGAAUUUAACCGUUGCGUGGUCUGGAGGGAAGAGCGGGGAGUCCGGAGCUGCCCCGCUGAGCUGCGACCCUCCUCGCAUCGCUCCUGGUUGGCUCCCAAACCUACUGCUUUCAGCUCAAAGAUUACCUCAGUGUAAAAGAGGAGAUCUAAAGAAAAUAAGCGAUCUCCAAACGCAGUGAAACAAAAAACCUUUCUGUCCAAACCAAACGUUAUGGCUUGACCUGAACUGAACAGUCAUACCAGUAUGGGGACCUUUUGGGUCCUUAUUUCUUUCACUUUGCCCGAAAGCCCCUCCUGCAUCCCCAUCUCUGUGCUAUCCUGGUCCUACUUCCAC
ensembl:lncRNA